CUGGUACCUGUGGCUGUUUGUUGUGGUUUUCUUACUGCUGAAUGUGGCAGGAUGGAACUCAUAUUUUUGGUUAUCCUUUUUGCCUUUGAUCAUACUACUUUUUGUGGGCGCUAAGUUAGAAAAUAUAAUCACCCGUUUGGCUCGGGAGGUAGUGGAGGAG